rnacentral:rRNA from 1 species
GCACGAAAGCGUGGGGAGCAAUCAGGAUUAGAUACCCUGGUAGUCCACGCCCUUAACGAUGUCAACUAGUUGUUGGGGAUUCAUUUCCUCAGUAACGUAGCUAACGCGUGAAGUUGACCGCCUGGGGAGUACGGUCGCCAGAUUAAAACUCAAAGGAAUUGACCGGGACCCGCACCAGCGGUGGAUGAUGUGGAUUAAUUCGAUGCAACGCGAAAAACCUUACCUACCCUUGACAUGCCACUAACGAAGCAGAGAUGCAUCAGGUGCCCGAAAGGGAAAGUGGACACAGGUGCUGCAUGGCUGUCGUCAGCUCGUGUCGUGAGAUGUUGGGUGAAGUCCCGCAACGAGCGCAACCCUUGUCUCUAGUUGCUACGCAAGGGCACUCUAGAGAGACUGCCGGUGACAAACCGGAGGAAGGUGGGGAUGACGUCAAGUCCUCAUGGCCCUUAUGGGUAGGGCUUCACACGUCAUACAAUGGUGCGUACAGAGGGUUGCCUACCCGCGAGGGGGAGCUAAUCCCAGAAAACGCAUCGUAGUCCGGAUCGUAGUCUGCAACUCGACUACGUGAAGCUGGAAUCGCUAGUAAUCGCGGAUCAGCAUGGCGCGGUGAAUACGUUCCCGGGUCUUGUACACACGGCCCGUCACACCAUGGGAGUGGGUUUUGCCAGAAGUAGUUAGCCUAACCGCUAGGAGGGCGAUUACCACGGCAGGGUUCAUGACU